rnacentral:tRNA from 1 species
AAAAUCCGUCGGCUUUUAAAAUCGUGAGGGUUCAAGUC